UGCAAUGUUCACAGCUGUUUUCCAACAAGUUAAUGGAGUUAAUGAAAAAGCAGGCAGGCGGUCCCAAAUGAUCACAUGACCAUGGGAUGCUGCACCCAUACCACAACCAUCACUUCAGAAAUUGAGCCAGAGCUGUGAAUCCAGCAAGAUCCCCCAAAUCACCUCUGAAAAGCAUCUGCAAGUUGUCAUGACAUUCAUGAGAAUGAUGGAAGCAACAUUCAGAGAACUAUGGACUAAUGCAAUGAGCUCUACAAAGGACUGCCUGUGAAGACUACCUAGAAGCUAAAUUGGUACAAAAUAUACCGUGUUUCCCUGAAAAUAA